rnacentral:rRNA from 2 species
UACGGAGGGUGCAAGCGUUGUUCGGAAUUAUUGGGCGUAAAGCGCGUGUAGGCGGCUAUUUAAGUCUGAUGUGAAAGCCCGGGGCUCAACCUCGGAAGUGCAUUGGAAACUGGAUGGCUUGAGUGUGGUAGAGGCAAGUGGAAUUCCAUGUGUAGCGGUAAAAUGCGUAAAUAUAUGGAGGAACACCGGUGGCGAAGGCGGCUACCUGGACCGAUACUGACGCUGAGACGCGAAAGCGUGGGGAGCAAAC